rnacentral:lncRNA from 1 species
AUGCUCUGAGGGCCAGUCCCAGCUACUUUCCAGCUGUGUGAGCUGAGGCCAGUUACCUAAAUUUCCCGUGCAUCAGUUUCCUGCAUUGACAAACCUCUGGUAAGGAUUUCUGCCCUACAUAGCUCACAAUACCAAAAUGAGAAAAUGGGAAAGUGCUAAGAAUUAUAAAGCAUUCAAAUAUGAGGUCUUAUGACUGCUAACACAGACUUCUGCCCACAAUAAUCACUAGAAGACGUACGGGUUAUGUAUGUUCAAGUCACCUAUAAAGUAACAAAUCAGCAACUUCCUAUCCAAUCCACUACAUAGCUUCCUCCCAUAACCUAACCAUGUGUGUGCUAAUAGCCUACCUACAAAUGGAUUUCUCUCUAUGACAUUCAACACCCAUUAAUAUUUAUGCAGCUGUGUCCAGGUUAAAAAAUAAGUCAAGCCAAGGUAAGAGGCAUUUUUUAAAAAAUUAUUUUAUAAGUUAAACAGUAAAAUUGACUUUUUUCCCUUUUGGUGUAGAGUUCUAUAUAUUUUAACACAGCUGUAGGUUGGUAUAACCACCACCACAAUCAGGAUACAGAACAGUUCCAUCACCCUAAAAAAAUUCCCUAUGACUCUUCCUUUAUAGUUCCACUCUUUCCCCUGCCCCAGCUCCAAAAACCAUUGAUCUGUUCUCUAGAUCUAUUCUGAUAUUUUCAAAAUAGGUCAGAUAAAUUGAAUUAUACAGUAUACAGCCUUUUGAACCUGCCUUUUUCCAUUCAGCAUAAUGCCUUUGAAAAUCAUCCAAGUUAUCACAUGUAUCAUCUGUUCUUGUUUAUUGCUGAAUAGUAUUCCAUGGUAUGGAUAUACCAGUUUGUUUAAUCAUUCAAUUGUUGAAGGACAUCUGGUUUAUUUCUAGAUCUUGGUAAUUUUAAACACAACAGCUAUAAACAUUUAUGUAUCAGUUGUUGUGUCAUCAUAAGUUUUCGUUACUCCAGGAUAAACCCCAAGAGUGGGAUUGCUAUUAAACAGUGACUUGUAAAUAUCAACAUCACAUUAAACAUCCAGAUUUUAUUCAAGUCAUCCUCAUAAUAUAAGAGACUGAUAUCACUAUUAAUCAAUGCUCAAAAACUAAUAUGCCCUAACCCCUUUGAAAAUUUGAGUUGUUUCAUCUACAGCCAUACCACUCUGAACACACCCCAUCUCAUCUGAAAAUUUGAGUUGUUUUGAUAUAUUUUGUGGUAUUUGAUUUUUUUGUGGUAUUACUAUUUUGCAUAAAUGUUAAUGAAAAAUAUCAUUUUAACAAUUGUAAAAACAUUGCAGUGAUGCUUUCAAGAGUUCUUCCUAUUGACUUAGAAAUACUCAUUCAAUUUCCCAAAAUAAAGUAAAAUUUAAAAUCUAAGUAGAAAGGAACCACCACAUCAGAGUCUGAGUUAACACAAACUUGCUCUGGCAUAAUUGAAAAAUCACUAUGCUAAACUUUGUAAAGAAUACACCACCAUUCCCCCACCCCCCAUGAAGUACACCCUAGAGUGUUUGAAGAUUAUAUUAUGAGUGGCCCAAAUGCCUGUGUUUGGCAUUUGUUAAACAAUCCUAGAGGAGCUGCCAUCCUUGGGGUUCUGUGGGUUCAUCCAUGGCUGACACCUCUCAUCCUGAAUCCCUUGGGUCUCACAGGCCCUGGAACAAUCUAUAUUCUCCCGGUUGAAGAUGACAGCAUGUCAGUGUACUUAAAAUUCAAUUUCAUUCUUCCUAAUCUAUGCACCAUUAUGCAGGUCUUUGAAAUAGUCUCCAAAGAAGGUAAGUCUAUAUUGAUUCCAUUCCCUUACAUAGCAACUGGUGUGUAGCAACCCAUAGUAUAAUAUGAGGGGGAGAAAAUAUUGAUUCUGGGAAACUUAAUAUUAUUAAAAGACAGUUGUAUUAAAUCUCUUUCCUGGAUUUAGCUGAGCACUUUUUUUUUCAUUUUUCCAUUUUCAAAAAAAUCAAUGAAGCUAAUACUCUUGUUAGUUUUAGAGUUUCUACGACAGCAGUUUCAUGUCACCAUAGAACCUACGGGAGGUUUGUAGGCUCAGCACUCAAGGCUUGGAGUCCUCUGCUGACUGAUGAGCAUAACAUUUCUCUCUUCAGUUAUUCCGGCCACUCAGAGCGGAAUCCAGCAUGCUGCCUCCUCCUUGCUCGCCUGGACCAUGGCAACGGCCUCCUGAAGGGCUUCCAACCAGUAUCUCUUCCCCAACCUCUGCAAUCAGAGGGAGCCUCCAGAAAAAAAAAAAAAGGUGUCAAAUGAUAUGGAAAACCACCAUGGGCUUGACACCGCCUGUUGGAUAAAACAGUCAUCAGCACUGAGUACCCCAGCGAGGCUUUACAUGGAGAGAUGAGGAAGAAGAGCCCAGGCAGGCAGCAAAGAAGAAAUACCUACGUCAUACUUGGGUCAUGGUAAGAAGACCAAAUUGGCUCGAAAAGGGAUUUUUUAUAAGUGAUGGUUAUAGAAGAUAACUUCAAAGAGGUGAAGGGGGUCCAGAUCAGUGAAGACUUGAAAGGCUCAGCCUGAGACUUUCUGACUUUAUCCCUCAUGCCAUGGGGAGCCAUAGAAUGUUCAUAAGCAGAAGAGGCAGAUAAAAGCACAGUCCAGUUGGAAUCACCAAUCACUCCCCCAAUAGCACACACACCAUUGAAUGUCAUUAGGCUACUAAUUAUUUUUCCUAGUGACCACCCCCAUUGUCUUUCACUAAGAAAAAACAAUUUAUUGACAAGUAAUUCUUUAGGUGCUUCCCUUUCACACACUUUCAAUUUUUAAGUAACACUUUAUACUGGCCUAACAAACAUAAAUGACAUUCUAGAGAUUUACAAUAUAUUAGUAUAAUAUUAGUGUACGAUUUAACGUGUUGGCUCUUUCUCCAGAGAUGGAAAAA